GACGAACCGUGCGAACGUUGUUCGGAAUCACUGGGCUUAAAGGGCGCGUAGGCGGACGAUUCAGUCGGUGGUGAAAUCUUUCGGCUCAACCGGAAAACUGCCUCCGAUACUAGUCGUCUGGAGUGAGGUAGGGGCAUGUGGAACUUCCGGUGGAGCGGUGAAAUGCGUAGAUAUCGGAAGGAACACCGGUGGCGAAGGCGACGUGCUGGACCUCAACUGACGCUGAGGCGCGAAAGCCAGGGGAG
rnacentral:rRNA from 1 species